ensembl:lncRNA
UAAUAUAAACGUGUGUUUAUUCCAUACAUGAACGGGUUAGGUCUAUUAACGUGUAAUUUUACAAGUGCUUUAUCAGUGAGGGUUCAUUAAUUUCAAGAACUAAAUGGCGACAUUUGUGGACAGGGAGGCCACCGCGAUCAGAUGAUUCAGUGAGUAGACCGUUCCUCGGAGAAGACCUCCGCCAGUCUUUGAAACGACGGCAAAGCGAUCGAUGCUGAAUUGCAUUAGCCCACCCUAUCUAUCUCCAUGCAUGUAAGCGGUUUCAGUCGGCUGAAGUCUAAAUGUGACAUUGUAUGAGCAGUGACUGUACAUCAGGCUCACGCAUGCGCUUUUGGAAACCCGGAGCCGCAGGAGAUUGAGCUGCACUCCGGAGGGAGGGGAACGGAAGGGACGCAGCGAUGAGUGCCAAAGUCGACAUGGACGUUCCAACCAAAGAGCCGGACCGUACGCCACCAGUCUCCUCUUCCUCCUCCUCUUCCUCCACCACCACCUCCUCCUCGAACACCUCCUCCUCCUCUUCCUCCUCCACCACCUCCUCCUCCUCCUCCUCUUCCUCCUCCUCGCCCCCCACCGACACCAUCCUCGUGUGCAGCAAAGAGGGGACGUCCAAGGGCCCCCUUCUUCCUCCCCCACCACCUCCUCCAGCUCCUUCUCCGUUGACCCAGACGACCACCACGGCUCUGCUCCUUCCAGCCGUAGUCCUACCCGGUCACCAAAAGCUGGAGGUGACGUCCGCCACUGUAGUGGCAGAGCCCGGGAAAGUGGGCGGGGUUAUAGAGGCGACCACGCCCACAGCCCAGGUGGGCGGGGCCUGCAGCAUCGUCCACGUACUGGAGUGGAAGGAGGGAAUGACUCUUCUGCCCACCACUAACCUCAAAUUCUGUGUUGGCGAUGUGGGAACGCUGAGCGCGCUGAUCACCCCGGCGAUCGCCAGUAGCUCCCCCCAACCUGCCUCCGGGGCUUCUGGGAAGUCUGCCGCUGCAGAGGGAGCAGCAGUGACCACGAC